GUGCUUACUUCAGCAGCACAUAGACUAAAACUGGAAUGAUACAGAGAAGAUUAGUGUUGCCCCUGCACAAGGAUGAUGUGCAAAUUCUUGAAGUGUUUCAUAUUUUU